rnacentral:rRNA from 1 species
GACGAACGCUGGCGGCGUGCUUAACACAUGCAAGUCGAACGGAAAGGCCCUGCUUUUGUGAGGUGCUCGAGUGGCGAACGGGUGAGUAACACGUGAGUAACCUGCCCUUGACUUUGGGAUAACUUCAGGAAACUGGGGCUAAUACCGGAUAGGAGCUCCUGCUGCAUGGUGGGGGUUGGAAAGUUUCGGUGGUUGGGGAUGGACUCGCGGCUUAUCAGCUUGUUGGUGGGGUAGUGGCUUACCAAGGCUUUGACGGGUAGCCGGCCUGGGAGGGUGACCGGCCACAUUGGGACUGAGAUACGGCCCAGACUCCUACGGGAGGCAGAAGUGGGGAAUAUUGCACAAUGGGCGGAAGCCUGAUGCAGCAACGCCGCGUGCGGGAUGACGGCCUUCGGGUUGUAAACCGCUUUCGCCUGUGACGAAGCGUGAGUGACGGUAAUGGGUAAAGAAGCACCGGCUAACUACGUG